AAGCCUUCAGGUCACAGAGAUGGAGGGGGCAUCUGAUUUAUACCUCUUAGAGUGGUCAGGGUUCUCAAAACCACUAAGAAAUUUAUGUGAGUGACAUCUGUAGAUUAACAGACUCAACAAUGGAGAAGGAAAAAUGAUACAGGAAGAAGAAAUGGAAAAUAUGAUAGGAAAUAAGGAAACCAAGAGGAGUAAUAGAAGAAGGAGAAAAGCUACAGUCUCCCAGUCUUCCGCUGACUUACAAAAGCCUGUCUCAACAAUUAAUGGUUGAAAGUGCUACUGAAGAGUGAGUUCUUGUCCUAUCACAAAAGGAUUCAGAGACAAAACAUGGAGAUCAAGAAAACAAAGCAAGGAUUUAUUAAGCACUUUAUUACACUCAAAAGGGAAGAGUGGGCGGACUCACAUACAAAAACUCCAUGAAAUGGAAGUUAACUAUUUGAUGACCAGGAGCACAUAACAGCCUGCAGACCUACCCAAGUCCCAAAACUGAUAACGUUAGCCCUUGUGACAUGGCCCUGUUACCUCACCAUCAACCAGUCAGAAUUGUACAUGAUCUGAUUACAUACCUUGUGAACCCCCCACCCCCGUCACCUUGCCUUUAAAUAUGCAUUCCUUAAACCCCUCAGGAAGUUCAGAUAUUUUGAGCAUUAGCUGCCCUGGACUCCCUGUCUACCACUUUACGAUAAAUGCUGUACUUUCUUUCACCACAAUUUGGUCUCUGACUGGCUUUACUGUGCAUGGGUGAGAGAACACAACAUCUUGGUAUACAGUGAUAUUUAUUCUUUUCUUCUGCUUCUCUAAAACAUGCUCCAAACUGCCAUUAAAUAUGGCACUGCUUUGGCUAACAAUUUUUAAAAACUUGCACUUUUUCUUUCAUCUCAUCAAAGAGCAGUCAACUAGCAUAAUUUUGAAAGACAAUAUCACAUAGUAGGUCACAUGUGGACUCCAUAGAUAAAUGACCUGGAAUCUUGCCAGCUCUGAUCUUGAUCUCUCUGUACUUCAGGUUCUUUAAUAUGGGAUAAUAAUAGACCUCACCUUCACAACUGUCAUGAUGAUGAAAUAAGAUGAUAC
ensembl:lncRNA